rnacentral:lncRNA from 1 species
UGGAAAUCAGGCUGAGGAGAGCCAAGCUGUCCAGUGCAUUCGGGAGAUUGGGGACAACAAGCACUUCCAGAGAAGGUCCCAUCCGAGCUCUGGGAGUCCUGCGAGGAGAGCGUCAAUGGUGCAGAUAAUACACUAAUGCCACCCACACUAGAGAAUGGAUGGAAAGCGCUCUUUCAGAAACUACAGGACUAGGAAUGCAG